CCGUGGAGGUGCGUAUUCCGCUGUCUGGGUACCGUGGAAUGGAACCACGAGGCGGUAAGCGGAGGUUCGCGACCCCGCCGGAUUUAAUUUUCGAGACCAGAGUGUGAGCGAUGCCAGCGCCUUGUAAUCACUGGAGCAAAAGAAGUGGAAUUUUCGGACUAGCGCUACUUGUGCAUCCGCGAUUUCUCUUUUGUGAAAUGUAAUACGCAUUUGAAAGCGUUUUUAGAUUUCCCCACUUUUCCAAAAUUAUCUAGCUCACAAGAUCAUCCGCGAGAAACCGUAGACAAGUUUUAGCUAAAUAAGCUGCUCGUAAACAAAUAAUUUCAAAGUAGUAUCAUUUAAAAAACAUCCUUUCGAAAAUCAAUAGCAAAAAUGGAAUUUGACUACAUCUCUUUUUUAAAAAAAAUCACGGUCUGUUUAUUAUAAUAAGCACUGAAAAUUCCUAAAUACCUCACAAUAGGAGUCCGAUUAAAUAAAAUAUAGUAAGUUAUAUUAAGGAAAAUGUAGGUAGCCAUUAAUAAUCGUAAUGUAGAUGAACAUUUGCUAAGAAGGAAAAGGGUUCACAAUUAUACCAUGAUACCUUGGCUUCCCUGGUGGCGCAGUGGUUAAGAAUCCGCCUGCCAAUGCUAGGGGACAUGGGUUCAAGCUCUGGUCCGGGAAAAACCCCACAUGCUGCGGAGCAGCUAAGCCCGUGCGUCACAGCUACUGAGCCUGCGCUCUAGAGCCCGCGAGCCACAGCUACUGAAGCCCGUGUGUUGCAACUACUGAAGCCCACGUGCCUAGAGCCUGAGCUCCGCAGCAAGGGAAGCCACCGCGAUGAGAAGCCCAUGCUCGCCGCAACUAGAGGAAGCCCGCGCGCAGCAACGAAGACCCAAUGCAGCCAAAAGAAAUAAAUUAAAUAAUUUUUUUUUAAUUCUGCGAUGAUGUACAAAACAAUUAUGAAGCAUUUGCUGAUUUGUGUGGUAUGAAUACUCCCAUCAUGGCAGAUUUCAAACCACCAGCGGAUAUCACUGAAUGAACAGUACGCGGGCCUCUCACUGUUGUGGCCUCUCCCGUUGCGGAGCACAGGCUCCGGACGUGCAGGCUCAGCGGCCACGGCUCACGGGCCCAGCCGCUCCGCGGCAUGUGGGAUCCUCCCGGACCGGGGCACGAACCCAUGCCCCCUGCAUCGGCAGGCGGACUCUCAACCACUGCGCCACCAGGGGAAGCCCUAAUUUAAUUUUUAAUAAUGGCUUUGCUUAAUGACUGCUCACAAAAUUCCUAAAAAUUUAACAAUUGGCUCUCUCCAGCCAGAACAAGCUACAGAUAUGGACCAUAAGCUCCCAGAAGGCAGGAAGUGGAGAUACAAAGCUGGCCAACUGGUGGGUGGGGAGGAGGGCAGUUCUGUGCAUGAAUAAGUAAAUAAAUUAGAAGAAAGAUAAAAAGGCAGUCAGGGCAGUAUAUGGAAUAUGCAUAAUAAAAAGUGGGAAUUAUUGCUGUUGUGAUUAUUACCAGAGCUAAUAAUUUCUUUUUUUUAAUUUUAGUUUAGUUUUUUUAAAUUGAGCUAUAGUUGAUUUACAAUAUUGUGUUAGUUUCAGCUGUACAGCAAAGUGAUUCAGAUACAUAUGUAUAUAUUCUUUUUCAGAUUCUUUUCCAUUAUAGGUUAUUACAAGAUAUUGAAUAUAGUUCCCUGUGCUGUACAGUAAAUCCUUAUUUAUCUAUUUUAUAUAUAGUAGUGUGUAUCUUUUAAUCCCGUACUCCUAAUUUACCCAUCCCCCCCUUUCUCCUUGGUAACCAUAAGUUUGUUUUCUGUUUCUGUGAGUCUGUUUCUGUUUUAUAAAAAUGUUCAUUUGUAUUAUUUUUAAGAUUCCCCAUAUGUGAUAUCAUAUAAUAUUUGUCUUUCUCUGUCUGACUUCACUUCGUAUGAUACUCUCUAGGUCCAUUCAUGUUGCUGCAAAUGGCAAUAUUUCAUUCUUUUUAUGGCUGAGUAAUAUUCCAUUUUUCAUAUAUCUUUAUCCAUUCAUCAGUUGAUGGACCUUUAGGUUGCUUCAAUGUCUUGGCUAAGCUAAUAAUUUCCUAGACAUCGUCAUUUCCCAUUUCAGAGCUUCGGUUUUCUCAUUUGGAAAGGAAGUUUAAUUACACCUUUCUUAUCACCCUCAAUGUGCUCCCUGAUUUUUAUCUGUUUUAUUCACUGCUGCGUGCAAUAGUAGGUGUUCAGUAAAUGUUGCACACAGUAGGC